GCAUCUGUAGCUCAGGGGUAGAGCGGCGGUCUUGUAAACCGCAGGUCGCGUGUUCAAAUCGCGCUAGGCGCU
rnacentral:tRNA from 1 species